rnacentral:rRNA from 1 species
UACGUAGGGUGCAAGCGUUAAUCGGAAUUACUGGGCGUAAAGCGUGCGCAGGCGGUUUUGUAAGUCUGACGUGAAAUCCCCGGGCUCAACCUGGGAAUUGCGUUGGAGACUGCAAGGCUAGAAUCUGGCAGAGGGGGGUAGAAUUCCACUUGUAGCAGUGAAAUGCGUAGAGAUGUGGAGGAACACCGAUGGCGAAGGCAGCCCCCUGGGUCAAGAUUGACGCUCAUGCACGAAAGCGUGGGGAGCAAACAGG